CUUAUUGGUCCUGUCCAGCAGCUCUUGGAGCUCAGACACCCUGCUGCUGUCAUCGUGAGCGUCUAUGGAGCCGUUGGGCAGUCUCUCUCAAAGUGAAGUUAAUUCCAGGGCCUUAAUUAAACAAACCUUCAGGGACACCCAUUCAGACAGGCAACACAGUGGGCAGCCAAAGUGUACCUGGUCUGGCCUGAUUGGGGAAAACCUAUAGAGGGGGCUUGGCUCAUUCUCUUUUUCCUCCUGGCCUCAGCAGCAGCAUUCUGAGAUGUGACCAGUUUGAAUUAAUUCCUUUCUUUUGUUAAUUCUUUGUUAUUAUGGGUCUGGUAGUCCUGUUUUCAUAGAUUUAUUUCUGUUAGGUUUAAUUCUGGGUGGCUUUCCUUCCUUUUUUAAAUUUUGGCCCGCCCAUCA